UGAGGAAUAUUGGUCAAUGGACGCAAGUCUGAACCAGCCAUGCCGCGUGCAGGAAGACGGCUCUAUGAGUUGUAAACUGCUUUUGUACUAGGGUAAACUCAGAUACGUGUAUCUGACUGAAAGUAUAGUACGAAUAAGGAUCGGCUAACUCCGUGCCAGCAGCCGCGGUAAUACGGAGGAUUCAAGCGUUAUCCGGAUUUAUUGGGUUUAAAGGGUGCGUAGGCGGUUUGAUAAGUUAGAGGUGAAAUACCGGUGCUUAACACCGGAACUGCCUCUAAUACUGUUGAGCUAGAGAGUAGUUGCGGUAGGCGGAAUGUAUGGUGUAGCGGUGAAAUGCUUAGAGAUCAUACAGAACACCGAUUGCGAAGGCAGCUUACCAAACUAUAUCUGACGUUGAGGCACGAAAGCGUGGGGAGCAAACAGGAUUAGAUACCCUGGUAGUCCACGCAGUAAACGAUGAUAACUCGCUGUCGGCGAUACACAGUCGGUGGCUAAGCGAAAGCGAUAAGUUAUCCACCUGGGGAGUACGUUCGCAAGAAUGAAACUCAAAGGAAUUGACGGGGGCCCGCACAAGCGGAGGAACAUGUGGUUUAAUUCGAUGAUACGCGAGGAACCUUACCCGGGCUUGAAAGUUAGUGACGGAUCUGGAAACAGGUCUUCCCUUCGGGGCACGAAACUAGGUGCUGCAUGGUUGUCGUCAGCUCGUGCCGUGAGGUGUCGGGUUAAGUCCCAUAACGAGCGCAACCCCUACCGUUAGUUGCCAUCAGGUCAAGCUGGGCACUCUGACGGGACUGCCGGUGUAAGCCGAGAGGAAGGUGGGGAUGACGUCAAAUCAGCACGGCCCUUACGUCCGGGGCCACACACGUGUUACAAUGGUAGGUACAGAGGGCAGCUACCCAGCGAUGGGAUGCGAAUCUCGAAAGCCUAUCUCAGUUCGGAUCGGAGGCUGAAACCCGCCUCCGUGAAGUUGGAUUCGCUAGUAAUCGCGCAUCAGCCAUGGCGCGGUGAAUACGUUCCC
rnacentral:rRNA from 1 species